CUUAACACAUGCAAGUCGAACGCCCCGCAAGGGGGAGUGGCAGACGGGUGAGUAACGCGUGGGAACCUACCCAGUUCUACGGAACAACAGUGAGAAAUUACUGCUAAUACCGGAUGAUGUCUUCGGACCAAAGAUUUAUCGCCUUUAGAUGGGCCCGCGUUGGAUUAGCUAGUUGGUGGGGUAAAGGCCUACCAAGGCGACGAUCCAUAGCUGGUCUGAGAGGAUGAUCAGCCACACUGGGACUGAGACACGGCCCAGACUCCUACGGGAGGCAGCAGUGGGGAAUAUUGGACAAUGGGCGAAAGCCUGAUCCAGCAAUGCCGCGUGAGUGAUGAAGGCCUUAGGGUUGUAAAGCUCUUUUACCCGAGAUGAUAAUGACAGUAUCGGGAGAAUAAGCUCCGGCUAACUCCGUG
rnacentral:rRNA from 1 species